ensembl:lncRNA
CACUCAUUCACCAGUCACAGCUGACAGACAGCAUCUGCUUCUUUCACCUUUAUCUUUGAGACACUGAACCAACAGAGUAACAACAUGUGCAGGCUGAUUCUGACUGCAGGUCUCUGUUUGAUCAUCGCCAGCCUGGUUUCUUGUGACCAGGCAAACAAACCUGGUUACCAAUCUGGUGCAUCUGGUUACCAAUCUGGUGCAUCCAGUGGAAAUUUCUGUAAUGGAAAGGGCAAUGGGCUUUACGCCUACCCACCUGACCCACAGCGUUUCUACCAGUGUUCCAAUGGGAACACCUUCAUCCUGACCUGCCCAGCAUCUCUGGUCUUCAGCGCAAUCUCCGGAGUCUGUGACUGGCCCAGUGCCACGGGAACUUUCUGCAUUGGAAAGGUGGAUGGGAAUUACGUCAACCCAAGUAACCCCAAUAGUUUUUACAUGUGUAGCAACGGCAGGACCGUCGUCCAAGACUGCCAAAAAGGUUUGAUCUACAAAUUGAGCUGCAACUGCUGUAACUAUCCCUAAAGUGUUGCACAUGACCAUUUUCCAAGCCCUCAUAGGCCUUUCCUACUUCUCAUGAUUCUUUAUGGUUAUGUUACAAAAAAAAAAGUUAGCAAUGGCUCUGCUUCAAGAUUUGUCAAAUCAAUUUGAAAACCCAAUUUUCCCCGACUAUCUGAAUGAUGGAAACGUACUGAACAUGUCUUCGUUCUGUUCUCAGCCAUGAUUCGACCUGCCUUGUCUUACUUAUUAAUAGGAUUGCUGCAUAAACAUUGUCAUUGGUAGUGAUCCUAUUAUAUGGUUUUGAUCUGUUCUCUAGUUGCUUCAUACGUAGCCCUUGCAUCGCUGUAUUUCCUCCACAUUAUGAUGCACUUAUUGUAUGUUGCACUAAGUGCUUAUAUAUUUUAAAUCUAACCUCAAUCUCUACUGAUUUGUAUACAUGCAUGAAUAAAUGAAUCAGAAUAAAAGACAAAUUCAAAGCGACCA